rnacentral:rRNA from 1 species
AGUGAACGCUGGCGGUAGGCCUAACACAUGCAAGUCGAACGGCAGCACAGGAGAGCUUGCUCUCUGGGUGGCGAGUGGCGGACGGGUGAGGAAUACAUCGGAAUCUACUCUGUCGUGGGGGAUAACGUAGGGAAACUUACGCUAAUACCGCAUACGACCUACGGGUGAAAGCAGGGGACCUUCUGGCCUUGGGGGAUUGAAGGGGCCGAUGUCGGGUUAACUAGUUGGCGGGGUAAAGGCCCACCAAGGCGACGAUCCGUAGCUGGUCUGAGAGGAUGAUCAGCCACACUGGAACUGAGACACGGUCCAAACUCCUACGGGAGGCAGCAGUGGGGAAUAUUGGACAAUGGGCGCAAGCCUGAUCCAGCCAUACCGCGUGGGUGAAGAAGGCCUUCGGGUUGUAAAGCCCUUUUGUUGGGAAAGAAAUCCAGCUGGCUAAUACCCGGUUGGGAUGACGGUACCCAAAGAAUAAGCACCGGCUAACUUCGUGCCAGCCGCCGCGGUAA